CACAUCAAAGAUAAGAGGGGUGAG
rnacentral:siRNA from 1 species